AUGGAUAAAGUGGGCAAAACAGACUCACAUUUUGCAAUCGAAAAGAUGGGUUCCUUUUUCGUCUCGACAAAGAAAGAAUCACUUGAAAACGCUCCUAACCCCUUCGUAGGGCCGUGUAUAGUAAGUGAUCCGAACCUGCCCGGAGCGAAGCCCCCCUUAGAGGCAAGUGAAGUUGGUGAGCCGUAUGAUGGGCAACUAUCUCCUGCGGUUCGGAGAGGACUCAGCUGUUAG
rnacentral:rRNA from 1 species